AAUCUUGUAUUCGAUCCCAGCAGAUAGAUAUACCGACACUUCUUUAUAAGUAAAUUAAUAACUAAUAAAAAUAUUACCUUCUUUUUUCAGGUGAUAUAAAAAUUAUAACUUUGAAAAAUGUUUAAUAAUAGCGGGCAAAGCCAGGCGUAACAAUAGUAUAUCGAUAUUGCUAUUUUGUUUUGAUGUUUUGAUCCAUCUCCUUAAAAAGAAUUACAACUUACAUUGCAAAGUUGUUGGGCACGUGUUGAGAUGUUUUCAAUUUCAUCACACCAUUUUCGUAUAGGAUGUAAUACCUAGCAAAAACGUACGAUUUUGAACUCUAUAGAUUACAAUUAAAUUAUAUAUAAAGAGAAAAAUUAUUUAAAAUCUAAUCUGAUUUCACACCUGACUGUUGCAGCUGUCUUUAUCGUGUAAUAUCGGUAUUUAACAAAGUCUAGACGUAGAAUUGAAUAUGUCACGCUCACCUUCCUACAGUCCUGUUUUAGAUAACAUUGACCAACAACGUAACAAUUUGAUAGAGAGCUCAGAUCCAGUUCUUAAUCCAUUUUACUAUGCUCAAGACCGAGAGAGCUGGUACGCCGAAGUGUCGGCACAGGCAUGUGAGGAGAGUAGACAGCAAGAAAUAGAAAAGGAAAAAUUAAAGAAGAAAAAAAAUAAAUCAAAAUCUUUUAAAAACAAAUCCUUUGUCAUGCGUAAAGAGUCCGGGGCCGUUCGCCGAAUAAUAAAAAUAAUUGUACAUGAUGUGGAUGGUCGUCAUAUGGACGAAAUAGACAGUGAUCCAGAUAGUGCAAGCGUCAAUAUACAAUAUUUAGUGCGAAGCGAUAUUGAUGAAAUCAUGAGUGAAACUGAGUAUUUAGUUACUAAAAUAGUUAAAAAGUUAAGUUCAACUUCAUGUAAUUGAUAUUUAAAAUAUAAUCAUUCUAAAUAUUAUUUGCUUUUUAUUUCUACGUCAUAAAAUUUUAAGUAAAUAGAUCAUUCCUGUAGAAGUAGAUAGGGUGCUAUAACUUGAUAAGGUCUAACAUAUCAAGACAUACAUAUAUACAUACAUACAUCAUUUUACAUACCAAGCUAUAUCUGUGUAACCGUGUUUAUAUUUUACUAAUAGAAAACUAUACUUAGUUAUACUUGUUUCGAAUCGGGACCAAACCCAGGACCUCCCUAGUUUUAAUAAUGAUAUUUGUGUACCUUGUUUGUGGAAAUGACAUAAAUAAGUUAUCGCAUCACUGACGUAUAUCGUAAGCUUUAUAUAAGACGACAUCGGAGAACGUAUAACCGCAUUCAAUUAUUUGCACUGCAAUGUGCUGAAUAGAUGAUAUUGAAUUAUCGAAAACACAAUUGAAUACUGAAUGGAUAAGUUGUAUUAGCACAGAUACACACUUGCUCAUUACACGUAUACAGGUGCGUCGCAGAAUACAUACCUUAAUAUUAAUUUCAUGAAUAAUUAAAUCAUUGCACCUAUUUUCGAAUAUAUGAAUGAUGGUUGAAAUUGGGUGUUUCUGGAUCUAAUCUCGGAACCCCUACUUUCGAAUAUGUGAAUGAUAGUUGAAAUUGGGUGUUUCUGGAUCCCAUCUGAUCCAGAAACCCCAAUUUCAACCUACUCACGUUGUACUGGGAUCGAUCUAUCAUCACUGACAGGACUAUUGUAGCCAAUAAACCUGAUAUAGUGGUGAUAGACUGACAAGCGCGCCGCACGAUGAUAAUCGAUAUCACCAUCCCUCAUGACGAGAACCUCGUGAAAGCUGAAAAAGUUAAACAAAUAAAAUAUCUUGACUUGGCUCACGAGGUUGUCGACAUGUGGAAUGUGGAUUCUGCUAUCGUUGUGCCGAUAGUCGUGUCGGUCAACGGACUAAUACCCAACAGCCUCGACAACCACCUUAGGAGGCUGGGGUUGGGCGGAUGGAUCAAGGGCCUGAUGCAGAAGGCAGUACUCCUCGAAACGGCAUGUAUUGUGAGGAGGUUUCUGUCUCUGGAGCCCUAACCACCGGUGGCUUGGACCAUGCUCCCGCUACUGGUCGGCUCCUAUUUUUAUAUUUUUAAAUAUUAUUUUAUUUUGUAUGUGUAGUAUUUAAAAAAGUAAAUUUAGAGAAUUUUAAACAAAUAAAGGAAAUCAUAACUAU